GUGGGUACCGUCAGCACCCGACGUAUUAGGUCGGGUGGGUUCGUUCCCACUGACAGAGCUUUACAACCCGAGGGCCUUUAUCACUCACGCGGCGUCGCUGGAUCAGGCUUUCGCCCAUUGUCCAAUAUUCCCC
rnacentral:rRNA from 1 species